GGGAUGGGGGUGAGGGGGGAGAUCAACGGCGAGGGCCUGCUGGAGGGGGAGGAGCUGAGGAGGUGCCUGGAGGUGGUGAUGGGGGAGGCGGAGAGAGGGGCGCAGAUGAGGAGGAGGGCGCAGAUGUGGAAGGAGAAGGCCCGGGAGGCCAUCGGGGAAGGAGGGUCCUCCCAGCGGAACCUUCGGGCUUUUGUGGACCAGAUCGCCGACCGCAAUUGGUUACCCUGACCCACUCCACGAGCAGCUCCAGAGGACAUGCUUUUUGAGGAAAGACUGCUAUUUUUUUCUCUCUUUUGUUUUAAUUCUCUUUUUUUUUUUCUUUUUUUUUUUUUUCUUUUGUAGCUGUUUGACUCAUUUGAAGAUUUUAUUGUCUCAACAUUAGUAGCAGAAUUUACGUUCCGAACGAAUAAAACAAAUAACUGCUAUCUUUUUCUAAAAAAUUAAUGGACCUUUUUUCUUUUAUUUUUUGAUAUUGUGCAAUUGCAUGGACUCUAGUGAUGUAUAUGGAAAUAGGAGAAAUAUAGUAUACAUUGAAAACUCA